GACCCUUCAAUGGCUAGAGCAUUGUGCACUGGGCCGCCUUGUUAUUUUUGUAUGUUGAUACAUCUCUUUAAGUUACUCAAGCUUUUAUUCUGCCAGGACCCACAAUUCUUGGAAAUGUUGGCAUUCAGAUGAGUUUCCUCCUGUAUUUCUUAUUGCCUUAUAUGAUCUAUCUCACCCAUUUAGAUUUCUUAGAAUGCUCACCGCCGGCAAUGCUUCAUGCAUGCAACUUUGUUGGAAAUUGUAGUUCUUUGGCUCCCAAUUUAUGUUUUUCAACAAAUAAUAUAUUACUGUGCUAAUAUCCCAGCAAUACAAGUGCACCCCCAU
rnacentral:lncRNA from 1 species